AGUGAACGCUGGCGGUAGGCCUAACACAUGCAAGUCGAACGGCAGCACAGUAAGAGCUUGCUCUUACGGGUGGCGAGUGGCGGACGGGUGAGGAAUACAUCGGAAUCUACUUUUUCGUGGGGGAUAACGUAGGGAAACUUACGCUAAUACCGCAUACGACCUACGGGUGAAAGCAGGGGAUCUUCGGACCUUGCGCGAUUGAAUGAGCCGAUGUCGGAUUAGCUAGUUGGCGGGGUAAAGGCCCACCAAGGCGACGAUCCGUAGCUGGUCUGAGAGGAUGAGCAGGCAGCAUGGAACUGAGACAAGGGCCAGACUCCUACGGGAGGCAGCAGUGGGGAAUAUUGGACAAUGGGCGCAAGCCUGAUCCAGCCAUACCGCGUGGGUGAAGAAGGCCUUCGGGUUGUAAAGCCCUUUUGUUGGGAAAGAAAAGCAGCAGGUUAAUACCCCGCUGUGCUGACGGUACCCAAAGAAUAAGCACCGGCUAACUUCGUG
rnacentral:rRNA from 1 species